AUUGAACGCUGGCGGCAGGCCUAACACAUGCAAGUCGAGCGGAUGAAGGGAGCUUGCUCCUGGAUUCAGCGGCGGACGGGUGAGUAAUGCCCAGGAAUCUGCCUGGUAGUGGGGGAUAACGUCCGGAAACGGGCGCUAAUACCGCAUACGUCCUGAGGGAGAAAGUGGGGGAUCUUCGGACCUCACGCUAUCAGAUGAGCCUAGGUCGGAUUAGCUAGUUGGUGGGGUAAAGGCCUACCAAGGCGACGAUCCGUAACUGGUCUGAGAGGAUGAUCAGUCACACUGGAACUGAGACACGGUCCAGACUCCUGCGGGAGGCAGCAGUGGGGAAUAUUGGACAAUGGGCGAAAGCCUGAUCCAGCCAUGCCGCGUGUGUGAAGAAGGUCUUCGGAUUGUAAAGCACUUUAAGUUGGGAGGAAGGGCAGUAAGUUAAUACCUUGCUGUUUUGACGUUACCAACAGAAUAAGCACCGGCUAACUUCGUG
rnacentral:rRNA from 1 species